rnacentral:lncRNA from 1 species
UAGACCCGAUGUCGAUGCCGAUGUGGGGAUAGUCCGGUUCCCACUCACCGUUGCCGUAGGUGUCGAUCUCGACGGCGAAGACCGAGGGGCUGCCGCCGGAGCAGUUGAAGAUUCCGAGGUUGGCUCCGCCAGAGUCAUUGGGGAUGGUGGAGCCGACGGGGGCGAUGAAGAACGUGAUGCCGUCGGCGGCAACGGACUUUCCGCGGGCAGGCGUGAUGAUGAAUUCGACGGUGGUUUCGAAGUCGACCUGCCCCCCGGUUUGCCAUAAUUGGGCCGACGGUAGUUCCGACGUCGACUUUCCCCCGGGGCGCCAGAAGUAUACCGGCGAAGAGUAUAUGACUCGGCCGACAGCUUUGCCGGUUUUUCCGGGGGUUGCUUCCGUGAGGCGGAGGGAGUAGGAAUGCCAAUUGAACUGGGCGUCGCCUUGAUAUUUGAGCUUGCGCGGCGGAUCGUCGUUUUCUUCGCUCAGGAAGUGGUAGGUGAACGACGUCGAUUGGGACCGUGCCGUGGCGAGGAGGAGGAGGACGACGAUGGAGGAGAGGAGAGGAAUUAGGGUUUGGAGAAGAUUGGCCAUGGCUUAUUUGAGUAAAGAGUAUUUGAUUUGGAUGUGGUUGAUGAUGAUGGUGAAUGAUCUAGUUAUGCUAGUGAAGUGUACAAUGCAUGCAUGAUAAUAAUGGUAUCAAUCAAUCGUUACGCCACACUGGAUAAUGCAUUAUAAUAAUGGUAUCAAUCAAUCAUUACACUAGACUGAAUCUUCUGCCCCCACUCUGUCUCUUGGUUUCGUGUCCACUAUUAAUUUCAUUAUUAUUUUAAUACUCCUUCAGUCUCAGCUUCUAUUAUCCAUUUGAGAGUGACACAUGUUUUAAUAAAUUGAUUGAGUGUGUUGUGAGUCGAAUAAGUGUUUCACCUUUUAUGUGAGUGUUAAAAUAAUUAAUAAUUAAAGUGGAACAAGAUUUCCACCUACUUUUACUAAAAAUAUAAAUGAAUAUGAGACGACAAAAAAAAGAAAGAUGGAUACUAAAAGUUGGGACGGAGCGAGUAAUUAUCAUUUCUUCAGUCCACUAAUUUUUCACUCGUUUUGUCAAUUUUUUUUAUGUUCACUAAUUCUUGACUCAUUCUGUUUUAAUAAGUAUAUUUCUAAUUUCAACCCUCAAUAUUAUCUCUUAUUUACAAAACUAACCAUUGAUAAACACACCAUUUAACAAAAUUAAUUAAUUUAAAAUUACAAUAUUAAAGGUUAGAUCCUUAUUCCACUUAACUAAUUAAUCAGUUAACCAAUUUUUUAAAUAAUUUAUGGACGGAGGGAGUAUUAUAGGGUUAAUUGCUUACAAAUUACUCAACUUUAAUACUAUGAUUUUUGUCACUAAUCAAGAUUUUGAUCAAACUUACUAUUGACACAACUAGUCGAUUAAUUGAUUUGGUAUAAUUGUUCUCGCAUGGGAAUUAAUUGCUAGAAAUAUCAUUCCUUAUAAAACAACGUCAAUUAUUUAACUAGCCACGUCAAUACUAAUAUUUGUUGGAAGUUUAGGUAAUAUGGUGAGAAUUAAUUUGGAGUAUAUUACUGUGAAUGGAGACUUUAAUUUGCAUGUGGAUGUAUAUGUAUAAUUGUGUUGGAGAGAGAGAGAGAGAUGAAAUUGCAAGUUUUUAUUUUUCAAACUUCACUCUUUUCCUACACUUUGUCAAGACAUGGUUACAUAUGCAUUUAUAAUGAUUCAAGUCGAUUACAUGAUUUUCACCGAUUUAAUUUGUGGCUAAAAUGAGUUGGUCUAGAUAAUUCUUAAUCUAAUGAGUUGUGGCUAAAAUGAGUUGGUCUAGAUAAUUCUUAAUCUAAUUAAUUCCUAUAUUUUCACACGUGCACUAUUACCCCCCCCCCCUUUUUUAACGGGGUGUCGGCAAAUAAAUCUUGUCAUCUCGUUUCCACUUUCCCAAACACUAAAAUGAUGUCGCUUCUCUCACGUGGAGAAAACGAUAUCAUUUCAUUUCAAUCCACGCUGGCAACGAGCUGUCAUAUCGUCUAUUAGGCUGCCUUAAAUUUAAGUCGAAGCCCUAAUUGCAAAAAUUAAAAAUAAUAUCUAUUUAUUUGCAAAGAUUUAAAAGUAGUGUUGAAAUUGAAAAAUGAGUCAAAUUUCAUGCUCUUUUUUUUUAGAGCGUCAAAGUUCAUGCCUGCAAUUUACCAUUUUAUUUUUACAAACUUUUCCUACACUUUGUCAAGACAUGGGUACAUAUGCAUUUAUAAUGAUGCAAGUCGAUUACAUAAUUUUCACCGAUUUAAUUUGUGGCUAAAAUGAGUUGGUCUAGAUAAUUCUUAAUCUAAUUAAUUCCUAUAUUUUCACACGUGCACUAUUACUUUUUUUUUUUACAGUGGUGUUGGCAAAUCAUUGCGCUUGAUUAUUCUAUUUCAAACACGCCCUCACCAUUUAUAUGUAUAUGUUAUUGAUAGGGAGAGCCGGGGCAAUGGGGUCACUGGACCCUUUAAGAUUUUGUGAUAUUCGUAGGGGUAUUAUAGUAAUUUCUCACAUAUAUUAAUGAAAAUAGAAAAAUAUAAUUUUGGCAUUAAUUUUCAACAGGAAUACCCUAGCCUCUGAAAAUUUCCACAUUCUUGUCUCUUCCCUCUCUCAAUCUCCGGCACUCUGUCCCGACUCGCGCCGCUUAUUGGCUUCAUUUUUCGCCGGCAAUCUGUCUCUCUACCGCCGUAGAUUGGCUUCCUGCAAUGUAGCUUGCUCUGUUGCUCGUAUAAUUGUUUGUUGACAGAGAGUCCAUUAGUAGCUUUAAUCAUUGUGGAUAAUUCAUUAUACAUUGCUAGCUUUAAUAGUAUACAAAGCUUAUAUAAUGUGUAAAAAUUGUUAUUUAUAUUGGCUCAAAGGUUUGUUUGGACGGCGUGACAACAAGCAUUCACGUUACAUUAAGAACUAAAAAUUUAAUCUUGUAAAAGUUAUACAAAAGUCAUCAAGAGUAUUCUUCGCAAUCGUAUGAGAGAUAAUCUUUUGAAUGAUUACUAAUUUCUAAUCAUGCAUGUUUAUUUUGUUUUUUUCUAAUGGAAAUUUUCAUGGCAUUAUUUUUUUCUUUUUAUAUUUAAAAUGAUCAAUAAUGGUUCUCCAUUUCCCUUUUUGUUGACUCGAACCUCUGACCUAUUGGUUGAAAAGGAAGCGUCUUGCCAACUCAGUUGCGCUUCAUUGUCAAUUUUCAUUUUCAUAGCAUUAUAUAUCUGGGCCUACAGAUUUUAUUAGGCUAGUGUUGCAUAUAGGACCACGUUAUCUUCUUUUGAAUUAUUGUGCAUGUAACGACAAUAAACUACUCCCUCCGUCCCGCUCAAGAUGCUACAUAUUCCUUUUUGGGCCGUCCCAACGAAGAUGCUACAUUUCUAUAUUUGGAAAAAAUAAGGGAUUUUAAACACUAAUUAAGUAUUCUCUUAAUACCUUCUCUCUCAUACUUUAUCACUUUAUUAUCUUCUCUCUCCUACUUUAUUACCUUCCUUUUCAUACUUUAUCACUUUAUUACUUUCUCUCUCCUACUUUAUCACCUUCUCUUUCAUACUUUAUCAUUUUUAUACUUUAUUACCUAUACACUUAAAACACCAAUCUACAACUCCUUAAAUCCCGUGCCGAAAAGGUAAUGUAGCGUCUUGGCCGGGACGGAGGGAGUAUAAUGGAGUACCAAUAAAUAAUUAUCAAUAGAACCGAAUUAUCUUUUUUGUUUUUUUUUAUCGUUUUAUAAUUGAGAGCUUCUGGUAUCAUCUGCAGAAUUUUCAAAAAUAGGAAAGAAAAAACAUUACUCCCUCCGUCCCAAUAUUCAAGUCCCGUAUUCUUUUUUGGGCCGUCCCAUGUAACAAGUCUCCUUUCCUUUUUUGGCAUUAAUUAGGGGUUGAUUAGUUGAUUUAAUUAAGUGUUAAUACUUUCCACCCCCAAUUUCACCCCCACCCCCUCUGCUCGCUCUCUCUCUCUCUCUCUAGUCUUCCUCCCACCGGCCGCCGCCCUCUUCCUCCUGCCGCCGCCACCACCAACCUCGCGCCUCCACCGCGACGCCAAUCUCCCCCUCUUCUCACCGUCCCCCUGAAUCCGGUGAGCUUUCCCCCUUUUCUCCUUGUCUGGUUCUUUCUCUCCCUUCACCUAACACCACUUCCCCUUUCUCCUAGAAACCCUUAACUCCACCGGCGCCGCCUCCCUCCUUUCCCCUCUCUCUCUCUUCGCCUUUUCUCUCUGAAACAAGGCUCGCCGCCGGCCUUCCUUCCCCUACGACCGCCGCCCGUCUUCCUUCCCCAAUUCCAGAGCCGCCUCCGUCACCAUCCUCCUGAGCCGCUUCCACCUUCCUCCUGCUCCGCCUCCAACGCCUCCGCCUCCUCGCGCCUCCGCGGGCUCCAACGCCGCCUCCUCCGCUGCCCUCUGCCUCCUUCCACCGCCAGGCACCUCCGGCGCCUCGCGCCUUCGCCACCAUCUUCAUGCGCCGCCUCCAUCAUCCUCCUGCUCGCCCAAAAUGAUUAGGGCUCGCCUCCACCCUUUCAAUUAUUUUUGUUGUUUUAAUUUCAGAAAUUGAAAGAUUUCCAUUUUUUGAUUUCUCUGUGGUGGUGUUUUGGUGUUCCGGCUCAGAAAUUGAAUUAAGGCCCUAGUGUUUUGGUGUAUUUCCGUUUUUGUAUUUCCAGUUGUUUUGGUGAUUUCCGUUUUUUGAUUUCAAGGCGCCUCCGUUUUGAUUCCGUUCAUUGUUCUGGCGGUGGUGCGGUGGUGCACAGGCGGUGGUGCGGUGGUCCGGUGGUGCACAGGCUGUGGUGCGGUGGUUCAGAAAUUGUGGUGGUGCACAGGCGGUGGUGCGGCAGGGAGUAAUUAAGUGGGAAUAAGGGGACUUGAUUUAACUCUUAAUUUUAGUCUCCUAAAUACCCGUGCCCAAAAGAAAGGGGACUUCAUUAACGGGACGGAGGGAGUAUAUACUACUCCCUUCGUCCCAUUACAAAUGUCUCACUUUCCAUAAUGGGAUGUCCUAUUACAAAUGUCUCAUUUUUUUUUGCUACAUAUUCUCUCUCUCUAUAUCUAAUAUUUAAAUAAUUUCCACCGACCCACUUUAUCUACUAAUUACACAUUUAUUUCUGUACCCAAAAGUAAUGGAACAUUUGUAAUGAGAUGAAGGGAGUAUAUUUUAAUGGAUGUGAAGUGAUAUGCAAGUUCGCAUUAUAAUUUUAUGAAUCAAGAUAUUAAAGAACAAAAUUUUAAUUAAUAAAUUUUAAUGUGUAUUUUAUAUUUAAUUUUAUGUGGGCGAAAUAAGAUUUAAUUAAAAGAAUAAAAGAAAAAAACCAAAAACCCUCGAAAAAAGCACAGACUACAUGUUACGGAUCGAACCUCAUUAAAACGUUUAUGGUAAAAAUAUAUUCAUUGGGAAAAAUACCAGUAAAGAAAAAAUAGUACUUGUCUAAAAUACAAAAAUUGAACGAAAAGGAGCAAUACAAAUUCACCAAGAAACAAAAUUCUAUUUUACGACAUUGUUGUAAAAUGCUCCUUGAGUAGAGAUUGUGUUUUCAAAGCACAAGCUCAACCUGAAUCACGAACAUAGUUGGUAGGAAUAUAGGUGAUGUGGAAAAAAGAAAUUAAUUAAAUAUUAAAGAUAUUGGAUGAUUUAGACCGGUCACUACUGAACAUGGUCUAAGGGAUAAUUAAUUAAUUAGAUGUACCAUGCAAAAUAAUACUGGUGGACGUCGUUUUCCACUAAAUAAUUCCUGCAGAAUUAUCAAAAACUAAUUAGUAUAAUGAUAAGCAGGGUCGAUCCCACAGAGAGCAGAUAAAUCAUUCAAUCCCCUAAAAUCUAUAAUUUUGGUGUAGCCACCACGCCUUAAUUUUGAGAAAAUAUUAAUUAACUAAGAAAGAAAAUUAAAUCAAAUAAAAUAACUCUUCGAAAUAAAUCAAUAAAAAGGUAACUCGACUCGAAUAAAUCCACACUAAUUCAAAGCUCUGAUCAUCAACGCAAAGAUUAAUUAAUUCCUAUCAACCAACCAGUUAUAGGAUACCGUGAAACGCAACGGACGUACCCCGAUUCCUACUUACUGUGUCGAUAAACAGCUGGAGACGCCAGACCUGCUUAUUUCCCUCAUUAAAAUAUAACCUAGCUGGAUACGGCAGUCUUAGAUUUAAUAUUCUAAUAGCAUUAAGGUGAAGGAACCCAGUUUAUAUCAAUUAUCCUAGAGACGCUAGUAAUAAUUAAUAUACCAAUUAAUUCCUACUACGAACAUGGUAGUUUUAUCACUAAUCAGCCCUAUUCCAACAAUUACGGAUUGGCAGGAACUAAUUGACUAUAAUCCAAUUAAACCUAAGUUGAUCAGACUUAAAUAAAAUUGGAAUUAUCUUUUAACCUAGGAAUUAAUCGAAAUUAAUAGGAAUCAAUUUUAAACCCAAUUAGGUCUCACAGAUUAUUAAAUUAGAGUUUCAUUAUUCUCGCCGAAUUAAGAAUUUAGCUAUUCAUAAUUAAACUAGAAACAAUCAAAUAAAUAAAAGUAAACAUAAAAUAAUCGAAUGUACUAAAAUAAAUCUAAACCACGAAAAGAAAAUAAAAGUAAGAAAACAAAUCUCUCAAAUAAACUGUUCUUCUCGCAAUGUCCAGCCGCCAAUGAUCUUCACGUCCAAACUCCUAGCCGCCAAUUGCCAAAGUAAAAAGCAAGAGAAAAAAAUAAAAUCUAAAAUAGAUUCAAUUAAUUGAAUCCCUUUCCAAUCUCUAAAAACACUCAAUCAAACAUGGGCUUAGUGUUGGAUUAAUUAUGGAUUACUUCAUAUAUAGUGUUCCAACUAUUCGAUAGAAGUCCUUAAUGAAAUAUUGCAUAGAUUACCUUGCAAAGUUCAUAAAACCAGAACGACACCCAAAAACAUUGUUGCAUAGUCCGUACAUAGAGACGGACGAUUAUUUUAUUUGUAGACUUAACGAGAGCAGACUUGAUCGCUUAGUCCUUAUUUAUCUAACACAAGCACACAUCUCAAAAUCACACAAAUUGACGAAUAAUGUUGCCGGCCAGCUCCUUCCUGCUCCUCGCGCCGGAAUUUGUUUGCACCAUGGUGGCCUUGAAAUACCACGAGACGAUAUCAUGGGUGGCGACGUAUGGUUGGCUUAGUCCGCUGGCGGCGGAGAGCCCUACCUGAACCUGCUCGGGAAGAAAGCCGCUCAAAUCGUACUCAUAGCUGACCUCAACCGUCUUCCAGCCGUUGGUGGCGGUGACGGUGAUCAUCUUCGUGGCUCCGACGUAGUUAAUCCGCGCACUCACCAGCUGCCUGAUUAUGCCAUCGCUGAACUCCGUCGUGUUGCUGGAUUCCCUAGAUCCGAUGUCGAUGCCGAUGUGAGGAUAGCUCGGAUCCCACGGGUUGUUGACAAAGGUGUCAAACUCGACGGCGAAGACCGAUGGGCUAUUUCCGGAGACUCCGAAGAUUCCGAGGUUGCCCCCGCUGCCGCCGUUGGGGAGUGGUGGAGGCCGGCGGGGGCCAGUGAAGAAGGUGAUGCCGUCAGCGGUGAGGUUGGUGGGGCGUGGGUGUGAUUAUGAAGUUUACGGUGGUUCAAGUCGACUUGGCCGCCGGCUUGGGAGAACUGGACCGGGUUCGAGUGCAAGACCCGGCCGACACUGCCUAUCGUCGGGAAGGUGAGGCGGAGGAAGGGGGAGUUCCAUACGAAAUGGGCGUGGCCUUGGUAGGUGAGAUCGGUCGGCAAGUCGCUCCAGAAGUCGUAGGUGAAGGACGUCGAUUGGGACUGCGCAGUGUUGGCGGCAGCGGCGAGGAGGAGGAUGAUGGAGGAGAGGAGAGGAAUUAGGGUUUGGAGGAGCUUAGCCAUGGCUUAAUUGAGUAUAUUUAGAUGUGGUGGAUGAUGGUGGUAUCUCUUGCUCCUAUUUAUAGUGAAUAGUGUAUAGAGUAUAGUGUAUAUAUGCAUGAUAUUAUGAUUUAAUUUCCUAUGAAUUAUUGAACUUUCAUCAAAUUUUUAUUUUAUAUAUAAACUUCAAAUUAAAUGUAGCGUGAUAAUCACUAAAUUUAUUUAAUCUUAUAUUUGCUACCAAUCAGGAUUCUAGCCAAAUUUACUGUUGACAUUACAAAGUCGAGGAUAUCCUAAGAUGGAUUGAAACAUUAAGAUAUUCCAAGGAUCUUAAUAAUUUCUAUCAUUUGCCAUAAUUUUAUUUGAUUCAUAUCUCAUUGAAAGAAUAUGAUUUUUAUCCCCUCGUUCACAAGAUUGUAUGGUGAACUCAGGACAUGAGUUUUAAUAAAUACUUCUUCUGUCCCCAAAAUACUUUCUAUGAGAGAGGGGCACGAGUAUUAAGACAAAUUGUUGAGUAUAUUCGAAGUGGUUAAAAAGUGUUAGUAUUAAAAAUGAUGAAAAUGUGUUAUAAUUAGUAUUUGAAGUGGUGAAAAGGUAAAAAAAAAAUAGAGUAAAUGGAGUAUAUAUUAUUAGUGGGGUAGUGUUCUAAAAUGAAAAAUGAAGUUAUUUGAAGGACAAUCCGAAAAGAAAAGUUAGAAAGCUAUUUGGAGGACGGGGUAAAUUGGAGAUAUGUAGAAAGUGUAGAAGGAUCCACCAAAAUUGAGUGGAGAAAAAGCUCCACCAAAGUUGAUGUGUUAAAAAUGGUUUGAAUAUUUUGUAAAUAUUGAAUGUGAAUGAUGUUUAAAAUAUAAGGGGCGUAGUUUCCAAAUAAAGAAAGUAUACAAUCUUUAUGGACAGACGAAAAUNUUUUAUUUGUAGAUUUAGAGCAGACUCGAUCGCUUAGCCCUUAUUUAUUUACGACACACACAUCACAAAAUCACACAUAUUGACGAAUAAUGUUGCCGGCCAGCUCCUUCCUGCUCCUCGCGCCAGAAUUUGUUUGCACCAUGGUGGCCUUGAAAUUCCACAAGACGAUAUCAUGGGUGGCGACGUAUGGUUGGCUUAGUCCGCUGGCGGCGGAGAGCCCUACCUGAACCUGCUCAGGAAGAAAGCCGCUCAAAUCGUACUCAUAGCUGACCUCAACCGUCUUCCAGCCGUUGGUGGCGGUGACGGUGAUCAUCUGGGUGGCUCCGACGUAGUUAAUCCGCGCACUCACCAGCUGCCUGAUUAUGCCAUCGCUGAACUCCGUCGUGUUGCUGGAUUCCCUAGAUCCGAUGUCGAUGCCGAUGUGAGGAUAGCUCGGAUCCCACGGGUUGUUGACAAAAGUGUCAAACUCGACGGCGAAGACCGAUGGGCUAUUUCCGGAGACUCCGAAGAUUCCGAGGUUGCCCCCGCUGCCGCCGUUGGGGAUGGUGGAGCCGACGGGGGCCAUGAAGAAGGUGAUGCCGUCAGCGGUGAGGUUGGUGGGGCUGGGUGUGAUUAUGAAGUUUACGGUGGUUUCAAAGUCGACUUGGCCGCCGGCUUGGGAGAACUGGACCGGGUUCGAGUGCAAGACCCGGCCGACACUGCCUAUCGUCGGGAAGGUGAGGCGGAGGAAGGGGGAGUUCCAUACGAAAUGGGCGUGGCCUUGGUAGGUGAGAUCGGUCGGCAAGUCACUCCAGAAGUCGUAGGUGAAGGACGUCGAUUGGGACUGCGCAGUGUUGGCGGCAGCGGCGAGGAGGAGGAUGAUGGAGGAGAGGAGAGGAAUUAGGGUUUGGAGGAGCUUAGCCAUGGCUUAAUUGAGUAUAUUUAGAUGUGGUGGAUGAUGGUGGUAUCUCUUGCUCCUAUUUAUAGUGAAUAGUGUAUAGUGUAUAGAGUAUAGUGUAUAUAUGCAUGAUAUUAUGAUUUAAUUCCUAUGAAUUAUUAACUUUCAUCAAAUUUUAUUUUAUAUAUAAACUUCAAAUUAAAUGUAGCGUGAUAAUCACUAAAUUUAUUUAAUCUUAUAUUUGCUACCAAUCAGGAUUCUAGCCAAAUUUACUUUGACAUUACAAAGUCGAGGAUAUCCUAAGAUGGAUUGAAACAUUAAGAUAUUCCAAGGAUCUUAAUAAUUUCUAUCAUUUGCCAUAAUUUUAUUUGAUUCAUAUCUCAUUGAAAGAAUAUGAUUUUUAUCCCCUCCGUUCACAAAGAUUGUAUGGUGAACUCAGGACAUGAGUUUUAAUAAAUACUUCUUCGUCCCCAAAAUAACUUUCUAUGAGAGAGGGGCACGAGUUUAAGAAAAAUUGUUGAGUUAUUCGAAGUGGUUAAAAAGUGUUAGUAUUAAAUGAUGAAAAUGUGUUAUAAUUAGUAUUUGAAGUGGUGAAAAGGUAAAAAAAAAUAGAGUAAAUGGAGUAUAUAUUAUUAGUGGGGUAGUGUUCUAAAAUGAAAAAUGAAGUUAUUUGAAGGACAAUCCGAAAAGAAAAGUUAGAAAGCUA